CCAUGAUCAGAGCCAAAGGCAGAUUCAUAACCGACUGAGCCAACCCGGUGUCCCUGUUGAUAUUUUUAAUAUAAGGAAAAAAGGGUUUAAUUAUGAGAUAUCCCAAGUGCACAGCAAAGAAUAGAAAAUAUAAUUAAACUGUGACCUUUUGCCUAGCCCUGAUAUACUGUAGCAUCCUAAUACAUGUGUUUCCUGUACUCUCCUUUGAAUACACGUAGCCUCCCAUCUAGCCUCCCAUCCACCAGAGGCAGCCACUGCCCUGAUUCCUAGCAGCACAUGAGUCAUCACUUGGCCAGCGGGUUCUGCUGUGGCUGUAUGGACGUGGAGUGGGGCUUGAACACCUCUCGUGCUUGGUGUCCCCAGCAGCUCAUCCACCCUCUGUCCAGGUCUGUACGUCCCCUCCCAUAGACACCUGUCCCCAUGGCGUACACAUGUGUGUGCAUGUGCGUGAGUCUGUGUGCACACAGUUGCUGACGCCGGGACUCUCCAUGCUCAGUGCGUGCCGCUCUGAGGGUGCAUGAGCUCACGGGCCAGGUGCUCAGGAAGUUUGCUGAAUCAAGUAUCAUGACCUUUUCAUGGAUUGUUUUCCGUCGGAGGACAGAGCCCCAGACCCAGAUCCUGGAAACCACCCAAAUAUCCAUCGAUGGAGGAAUGGCAAGCCAAUAUGGUCUACCCAUGCAGGGGAUGCUUUUCAGUCUUAAAAAGGAAGGAUGUUCUAACACCGGCUACCCCACGGAUGACCCUGGAGGACACGAUGCUCAGUGAGAUGAAUCAGUCUCUGGAGGACAAAUCCUGGGUCAUUCCACUUAGAGGAAGCCCCCAGCAGUGUCGAAUCCCCAGAAGUAGAAAGUAGGUGAGGGAGGGGACUUUCAGGGUCUUGUUGGGAGAAGAAUGGGGAGUUUCUUGGGGACAGAGGGAAGGUGCUCUGGGAAUGAGGGUGGGUUGGUUGUACAACACAGUGAGUGCACUCAACGCCACAGACCCAGACACUUAAAAAUACGGUUCAGAUGGGCUGUCUUGUGUUCUGUGUGUUUUACCACAAUAAAAUACUUUUAAUGGUUAAAA